UACUGUUGUGUUUUAGGGUGGUGGGGUACUGUUGUAUUGUAGGGUGGUGGGUACUGUUGUGUUGUAGGGUGGUGGGGUACUGUUGUGUUGUAGGGUGGUGGGGUACUGUUGUAUUGUAGGGUGGUGGGUACUGUUGUGUUGUAGGGUGGUGGGGUACUGUUGUGUUGUAGGGUGGUGGGGUACUGUUGUGUUGUAGGGUGGUGGGGUACUGUUGUGUUUUAGGGAGGUGGGGUACUGUUGUGUUGUAGGGUGGUGGGGUACUGUUGUGUUGUAGGGUGGUGGGGUACUGUUGUGUUGUAGGGUGGUGGGGUACUGUUGUGUUUUAGGGUGGUGGGGUACUGUUGUGUUGUAGGGUGGUGGGGUACUGUUGUGUUGUAGGGUGGUGGGGUACUGUUGUGUUGUAGGGUGGUGGGGUACUGUUGUGUUGUAGGGUGGUGGGGUACUGUUGUGUUGUAGGGUGGUGGGGUACUGUUGUGUUGUAGGGUGGUGGGGUACUGUUGUGUUGUAGGGUGGUGGGGUACUGUUGUGUUUUAGGGUGGUGGGGUACUGUUGUGUUUUAGGGUGGUGGGGUACUGUUGUGUUGUAGGGUGGUGGGGUACUGUUGUGUUUAGGGUGGUGGGGUACUGUUGUGUUGUAGGGUGGUGGGGUACUGUUGUGUUGAAGGGUGGUGGGUACUGCCUUAUGAUGUCCUGUAGGGUGGUGGGGUACUGUUGUGUUUUAGGGUGGUGGGGUACUGUUGUGUUGUAGGGUGGUGGGGUACUGUUGUGUUGUAGGGUGGUGGGGUACUGUUGUAUUGGAGGUUGGUGGGUACUGUUGUGUUGUAGGGUGGUGGAGUACUGUUGUGUUGUAGGGUGGUGGAGUACUGUUGUGUUGAAGGGUGGUGGGUACUGCCUUAUGAUGUCCUUUAGGGUGGUGGGUACUGUUAUGUUGUAGGGCAGUGAGGUAGUGUUUACAUUUACAUUUAAGUCAUUUAGCAGACGCUCUUAUCCAGAGCGACUUACAAAUUGGUGCAUUCACCUUAUGACAUCCAGUGGAACAGCCACUUUACAAUAGUGCAUCUAAAUCUUUUA